CCUACGGGUGGCUGCAGUGGGGAAUAUUGCACAAUGGGGGAAACCCUGAUGCAGCGACGCCGCGUGAGCGAUGAAGUAUUUCGGUAUGUAAAGCUCUAUCAGCAGGGAAGAAAAUGACGGUACCUGACUAAGAAGCCCCGGCUAACUACGUGCCAGCAGCCGCGGUAAUACGUAGGGGGCAAGUGUUAUCCGGAUUUACUGGGUGUAAAGGGAGCGUAGACGGCUGUGCAAGCCAGAUGUGAAAGCCCGGGGCUCAACCCCGGGACUGCAUUUGGAACUGUGUGGCUGGAGUGUCGGAGAGGCAGGCGGAAUUCCUAGUGUAGCGGUGAAAUGCGUAGAUAUUAGGAAGAACACCAGUGGCGAAGGCGGCUCUCUGGUCUGCAACUGACGCUGAGGCUCGAAAGCAUGGGUAGCGAACAGGAUUAGAUACCCCAGUAGUC
rnacentral:rRNA from 1 species